UACGAGGGGGGCAACUGUUGUUCGGAAUCACUGGGCGUAAAGGGAGCGUAGGCGGGCUUCUAAGUUAGGUGUUUAAUCCCGGGGCCCAACCCCGGUCGUGCACUUAAAACUGGAAGUCUUGAAUAGUGGAGAGGUCAGUGGAAUUGGGGGUGUAGCGGUGGAAUGCGUAGAGAUCCCCAAGAACACCAGUUGCGAAGGCGGCUGACUGGACACAUAUUGACGCUGAGGCUCGAAAGCAUGGGGAGCGAACAGG
rnacentral:rRNA from 1 species